GGUAGUUUGACUGGGGCGGUCUCCUCCUAAAGAGUAACGGAGGAGCACGAAGGUUGGCUAAUCCUGGUCGGACAUCAGGAGGUUAGUGCAAUGGCAUAAGCCAGCUUGACUGCGAGCGUGACGGCGCGAGCAGGUGCGAAAGCAGGUCAUAGUGAUCCGGUGGUUCUGAAUGGAAGGGCCAUCGCUCAACGGAUAAAAGGUACUCCGGGGAUAACAGGCUGAUACCGCCCAAGAGUUCAUAUCGACGGCGGUGUUUGGCACCUCGAUGUCGGCUCAUCACAUCCUGGGGCUGAAGUAGGUCCCAAGGGUAUGGCUGUUCGCCAUUUAAAGUGGUACGCGAGCUGGGUUUAGAACGUCGUGAGACAGUUCGGUCCCUAUCUGCCGUGGGCGCUGGAGAACUGAGGGGGGCUGCUCCUAGUACGAGAGGACCGGAGUGGACGCAUCACUGGUGUUCGGGUUGUCAUGCCAAUGGCACUGCCCGGUAGCUAAAUGCGGAAGAGAUAAGUGCUGAAAGCAUCUAAGCACGAAACUUGCCCCGAGAUGAGUUCUCCCUGACUCCUUGAGAGUCCUGAAGGAACGUUGAAGACGACGACGUUGAUAGGCCGGGUGUGUAAGCGCAGCGAUGCGUUGAGCUAACCGGUACUAAUGAACCGUGAGGCUUAACCUU
rnacentral:rRNA from 1 species